AAAUCUAAAAACUUUUGGUUAAGUGCUGAAAUCUAAAACUUUUGGUUACAUGCUGAAAUCUAAAAACUUUCCAGGUGGUUGCUAAGGUGUUGCUAUAGUAUCUGGGGUGGUUGCUGAGGUGUUGCUAGGUGGUUGCUAAGGUGUUGCUAUGGUAUCCAGGGUGGUUGCUAAGGUGUUGCUAGGUGGUUGCUAAGGUGUUGCUAUGGUAUCCAGGGUGGUUGCUAAGGUGUUGCUAGGUGGUUGCUAAGGUGUUGCUAUGGUUUCUGUGGUGGUUGCUAAGGUGUUGCUAGGUGGUUGCUAAGGUGUUGCUAUGGUAUCCGGGUGGUUGCUAAGGUGUUGCUAGGUGGUUGCUAAGGUGUUGCUAGGCGGUUGCUAAGGUGUUGCUAUGGUAU